AGGCUGCAGUAGCAAAGAGCUUCUUGUGCUCCUUCAUCGAGAUGUACGAAGAGAAGCCCUUUGACCUCCUGGGCAGCACCUCAGUGAGUCUGGUUUCUAAAUUGAGAAAGCACUGUUUGUGGAAGGAGCGGUGGAGAAAUACGUGGCUUCAGCCACAGAUGCCUACCAGAAUCUGGAUCAGUUGUUCAGAAGAAUCGGCACAGUUAAUCAGCACAGCAAACAGUUCAGAACUGACCAAGUGAAUCUCUAUCAAAUUACUGACUCAAGUUAAGUUUUAGAGCAGAGUUUUCCUACCCUGAACCUGUGAAUCACACUCCUUCAGAACGCUUAAACUAUACAAUAAAUUAGUAAAUUAAUCAAACUUAAAACCGAUCUAAUAAAUUGGUGAGGUAUAUUAGUUGUCCGGAACAGAAAAGUGAUAAAUUGGUGAACUGGGCAAGCUCAGAACUGAUUCAUUUAACUGGUUACAUAAACAGAACAGAGAAUUAAUACAGUGAAUCAGUAAAUUAAACAGUUCAGAAUCGAUUCAGUGAAUCAGUUAAUCAAGCAGUUUGGAACUAUUACAGCAAAUUAGUACUUCAAACUUGUUCCGAAUUAAUACAGUGAAUCAGUAAAUUCACCAGCUCAGAAUCGAUUCAGUGACAAUUAAUAACUGAGGAAGAUGACGCUCUGUGCGCUGAGAGAGAGGCGGCUCUGGAAGCUCUGCACGCUGGGAGAGAGGCGGCUCUGGACACUCUGCACGCUGAGAGAGAGGCGGCUCUGGACGCUCUGCGCGCUGGGAGAGAGGCGGCUCUGGACGCUCUGCGCGCUGGGAGAGAGGCGGCUCUGGACGCUCUGCGCGCUGAGAGUGAGGCGGCUCUGGACGCUCUGCGCGCUGAGAGAGAGGCGGCUCUGGACGCUCUGCGCGCUGAGAGAGAGGCGGCUCUGGACGCUCUGCGCGCUGAGAGUGAGGCGGCUCUGGACGCUCUGCGCGCUGAGAGAGAGGCGGCUCUGGACGCUCUGCACGCUGAGAGAGAGGCGGCUCUGGACGCUCUGCACGCUGAGAGAGAGGCGGCUCUGGACGCUCUGCAUGCUGAGAGAGAGGCGGAUCUGUGUGCUGAGAUUGAUAGGCUCAGGCUGGAAAUUGUGACUAGGAGGACAAGCUCGCGCAGGCCUAGAUGAGACGACUGAUCCUUGAGCAGAAGACGAAGGCGGUGGAAGACCGACACUGAAAAUAAACAAAAUACUGCUGAAGACUGGAAAAACGUCACCUUCCAGUCUCCAGCUGUGUCAGGUUCCUGUUCCUGCCUGACAAGAGCGGAGCCUGAUGUAACGAUCUGCUGAUGGAGCCCAUCCACCUCAAGAUUUGAGGAUAGUUUAAUUUAACAACCAUGGUGAAAAGUAAACAGCAACCUUGAUGUUAGUUGUUUGUUGCCAUGGUUACAUUCCAACAUCAUAAAAUAUGGUACUUUCGAAUGGUUUCCAACGUUCACUGUGUUUAUACGAGGUUUCUACAAGAAAGUUUGGUUAGCAGAAGUUUGGUUAGCAGUUGAUGCUGUGUGUAAUUAAAGUGUCAUUUUAGCAAUACAUUGUCUUUUCUUAGUAAUUUAUUUACAAA